GGGCAAGUGAAAAAGAAAAAAAUUGAUCCAUUUUUAGUUUGAAGCUUUGAAUGAAUCAAAAACAAAUGCCGUUUUUCACCUUCUAUCUUCCUUCUCUCUACAAAAAUCAUACCAUCAUUAUCAAUUUUCUCUAUCUAGAUUAGAUCUCCGAUCACAUAUACACAUAUUUCAUUUGUUUUCGAUCAUACUAAAUGGAGCAGUUGACGAUCGGCGAU
rnacentral:misc_RNA from 1 species